UGAAACAGGUGACUUUGUGGGUCUGAGACGGAGACAAACGCCCCGGGGCCUUUUUCAUAUCCAAUUCAUUCGAUGGUCGCCAAACAAUUAACGAAUUAACGGAUGUUAUGGGCAAACUGACGAUUCCGGGGAGAAAAUAGCGGCCGUUCGGGGUCGAGUCGAGUGCAAAUUUUGUUUCUCAAGUGCUAAACACUCUCAAGCGUCUAGUUGAAUACUCAAAAUCGCGAUAAAAAUAAAAAUUGUGAAUUUUUAAUAAUUUAAGCUGAAAAAUUGUUUUUUUAUGAAAAAAAAGUGAAUUAAAAACGAAAAAGUGCAAAUUUACACACUCUCUUGUGUUUUUCAAGGGUUAAACACUCUCAAGUGUCUAGUGGAACUCUCAAAAUUAUAACAAAGACAAAAAUUGUGAAUUUUUAAAAAUUUAAGCUUCAAAAAAAAUUUUUUUAAUUGAAAAAAAGUGAAUUGAAAAUGAAAAAGUGCAAAUUUAAACACUCUCUUGCGUUUUUCAAGGGUUGAACACUCUCAAGUGUCUAGUGGAACACUCAAAAUUAUGACAAAGACAAAAAUUGUGAAUUUUUAAAAAUUUAACCUUCAAAAAAAAUUUUUUUAAUUGUAAAAAAGUGAACUAAAAAUGAAAAAGUGCAAAUUUAAACACUCUCUUGCGUUUUUCAAGGGUUGAACACUCAAGUGUCUAGUGGCAUACUCAAAACUACCACGAAAACAAAAAUUGUCAAUUUUUAAUGAUUUAAGCUUCAGAAAUUUUUUUUUUAAAUUACAAAAUUGUGAAUUAACAACGAAAAAUCGAGGGGUAUUCGUCAUCCAGACAUUUUUCAUUCUAGAACAGUGAACUUGAUAAGCCGUUUCGUGAGAUAAUUCAGUGAAAAUGAAUCUACAUACGUAAUACGAAAAGAAACAACAUUACGUGGUGUUUGUUUUUUGGUGCAAAAGUGAAGACGACAAUUCGAAGCCAACGAUUCCCCCACGUAUAUCCAGCAAAGUUGGAGGAUCCUCCAGAGUUUGAGGCCAGAGUGCGGAACUCACCGAAGACACUGGUGGAGAUGUGUAUGACGGUGAGGGGAGGGCAAUACGGGGAGAGCAGUUUGGCGUAGCAUUUUCGUUGAGGCCAACUUAAUUUCAACUCCCCCGGAGGUUAUUCCACGAAGAACAAGAAUUUUCACAUCCGACUACGACGUACCACCUAUGCGAAUCUUAUUAAAUCGUGACGAGAGUAAAUUAAAGCCUGCGUCGCGAUCUGAUCGCCUCCACAACUGGUGUGUUAUUGAGCCUCCGAGUGAGUACAAUCUCUCUUACACGCCCAACAUACGCCUCCCGGUUAAUCGAUAGUCAGGAUCAUUAUUUACUAAUCGAAUCAACUGUUAUGCAUACGGUAUUGAACAUUUCGUUUGCAAGCCGAAGGAUGAGGGCUCCAGCUGGGAGUGUUUCUAGUUUUUUGCGGCAAAAUGUUCGUGGCACUAAGAACAGAGUUGAUGAUGAGGGACGAGAGCAAACAG